CAUAUCUAGUAUAGCAUCUAUACUGUGAAACUGCGAAUGGCUCAUUAAAUCAUUUAUCGUUUAUUUGAUAGUACCUUACUACUUGGAUAACCGUGGUAAUUCUAAAGCUAAUACAUGCUAAAAACCCCGACUUCGGAAGGGGUGUAUUUAUUAAAUAAAAAACCAAUGCCCUUCGGGGCUCCUUGGUGAUUCAUAAUAACUUAACGAAUCGCAUGGCCUUGUGCCGGCGAUGGUUCAUUCAAAUUUCUGCCCUAUCAACUUUCGAUGGUAGGAUAGUGGCCUACCAUGGUUUCAACGGGUAACGGGGAAUGGGGCGGGGGC
rnacentral:rRNA from 1 species